CAGACUGUUUCUUCAACAUGAAAGAGAGAAGGAUGGCAUUAGAGUUUCUCUACAAGUAGGUGAUUUUACCCACUGCACUGCUACUGGGGACCAAACAAUCUCAUCAAAACGGGUGAGAAUAUGAGAGGAGUGCAGACCCGUCAAUGAUGUCAGACGAGGAGUGUAUGGAGAACGAGAAGAGCUCCUUCCAAGUCCUUGAUCCAAGGUGGCGCUGCACCAGGCUGACAAGGACUAUCCGGUUACGUCAGGGGGCCUUAGAGGACCGUCGGAGAGGAGUGGAGCCAGUUAGAAUAGGAGUUGAUUUGUUGUUUCGG
rnacentral:lncRNA from 1 species